CCUGAACCUAACAAUAGACUAGAACAACUUUUCUAUCAGAAAUUUUGCUACGAUUUACAAUGAUAGCAUUUUUUGGAAAAAACAUGGGAAAAUGGGGAAAAGGUACAAUAAUAAACAAAUAUUAUUAAAGAAAAUAUAUGUAUAUGUAAUUAUUUUACCAUAAUAUUACAUAUAUAUUGUUGACAAUGCAACACUAUUAACCGAACUCCACUCAGAAUCGUUUUCUCGUUAGCUGCAAUUGUACCUUACGCACGGAUUUAACUUAAAGUACUAGAUAUCCUGAAUCUUCCCUUCUAACUUUCCUCUUAAAACAGUGGUACACCCAUCAACAAUAUUAGCUUUUUUUCUUUUACUUAAUUAAUUACCAUCCGCGUCCAUAUUAUAUUAUAUGUUUGUCAAAAUUGUCGGUCAGCCGUGUUGUUUUUGUUCACCCGUGACACGAAACGCACGAAACGGAACGCCAGCCACCAAUUAAAAAAAAAAAAAAAAAACCGGUUAUUAGCAACCGUUCGUGAUGUUACGGAGGAUGUCCCGUCAUAAUAUAAUAAUGGGAUAAUAUUAUUAUGGUGAAGGUAAACUUGAUGCAGGUCAGGGGCACCAUUGCUGCAGCUGAUAGUUAUUAUUGUGACUUUGGCCCAGUGUUGCCGAGAACAAAUUUAUAAUAAUAUAAUACCUAGAUAUCUGAUCAAUUGAAUGGUGGUUUGCCGCGUUUUGAUCGCCUAUUUUACCUCUAGACACCUUGGCAACAAACUGUAUGGACUCUAAUAAUAAAGAGCAAAAGAAAAAAAAAAUACAUAAUGUUCGUUUAAAAAAAAAAAUUAAUUAUAAUUUUCAUCCGCAGUAAUCUCUUCGAACGUCUCCGACCACGGAUGACGGGCGUAAAAUAAAUAAAAGUUCUCUCCGAUCGUAAUCCUCUGGAAAUCACGUAAGACACUCUCGGCAAACCACACCUAAUCGCAACGUCGCGCGUCGAGGAGAAUUAUUAAUUGUAGGUAGGCAUGAGAUAAGAACGUUCGUCUAUAGUAGGAAAUCCUGAAUGGGUAGGGGACAAAAUAUUACGCAUUAAGUAGAUAUUUAUAAUUAUUAUAUG